CCUACGGGUGGCAGCAGUGAGGAAUAUUGGUCAAUGGGCGCGAGCCUGAACCAGCCAAGUCGCGUGAGGGAAGACGGUCCCAUGGAUUGUAAACCUCUUUUGUCGGGGAGCAAAAGACGCCACGCGUGGCGUUCCGCGAGUACCCGAAGAAAAAGCAUCGGCUAACUCCGUGCCAGCAGCCGCGGUAAUACGGAGGAUGCGAGCGUUAUCCGGAUUUAUUGGGUUUAAAGGGUGCGCAGGCGGAAGGUCAAGUCAGCGGUAAAAUUGAGAGGCUCAACCUCUUCGAGCCGUUGAAACUGGUUUUCUUGAGUGAGUGAGAAGUAUGCGGAAUGCGUGGUGUAGCGGUGAAAUGCAUAGAUAUCACGCAGAACUCCGAUUGCGAAGGCAGCAUACCGGCGCUCAACUGACGCUCAUGCACGAAAGUGUGGGUAUCGAACAGGAUUAGAUACCCGGGUAGUC
rnacentral:rRNA from 1 species